rnacentral:tRNA from 1 species
GGGUGCUUAGCUCAGUGGUAGAGCGCUUCGUUCACAUCGAAGAGGUCGUUGGUUCAAAUCCAGCAGCACCCA